rnacentral:rRNA from 1 species
CCUGAACGCUGGCGGCGUGGCUAAGACAUGCAAGUCGCACGGGGUAGCAAUACCCAGUGGCGAACGGGAGAGUAAUGAAUCGCUAAUGUACCCCGGACUCUGGGAUAGCUACCCGAAAGGGUAGGUAAUACCAGAUAAUAUAACCGCUUCGCAUGAAGUGGUUCUCAAAGGUCCGCCGGUCUGGAGCAGGCGAUUUCGUAUCAGCUAGUUGGUGAGGUAACGGCUCACCAAGGCGACGACGCGUAGCCGGACUGAGAGGUUGGCCGGCCUCAUCGGGACUGAGACACUGCCCAGACUCCGUACGGGGGCGUGCAGUAACGAAUCUUCCGCAAUGCACGAAAGUGUGACGGAGCGACGCCGCGUGUGGGAC